UGUGUGUGUGUGUGUGUGUGUGUGUGUGUGUGUGUGUGUGUGUGUGAGAACUGGUUUGUAUCACUAAAUAUCACUAACCACUGUGUUGCCUCUGCUUUGUUUUUUAUGCUGAAACUGUAUGUUUUUGAAGUGUCUCCCCCUCUGAACGCCAUAACAUUCUAACCUCACUAACCUGAUUAAUGUGUGUGUUUGUGUGUGUGUGUGUGUGUGUGUGUGUGUGAGAUAACUGCUGAGGAAUUUCAAUGGCCUCUAAGCCCUCAGAGAUCUCCUCCUCACCUCCUCCAUCCAUCUCCCUCUGUUUAACUGUCUGCCUCUCCAUUUAUCAGAGCCUCUGGCCCGGUCCGGCCCGGCCCGGCCCGUCUCGGCCCAGCCUGGUCCCUGCUCGCUCAGCUCGGUUCAGACACAGAUCCACCUGCAGACAUGAAAGAGAACCAGAGUCUGUCCAGCAGAGUCCUGGAGAGCAGCCGAAGCUUCACAUCAGCUGAAAUAACAUCUGAAGACUUCUUUAGCUGCUACUAAAGACGUGAGCUGCACGGCUGCCGUCACGCCGAGCCUCCACCUCUGACCCUGUCCUCCGGCCCGUCUCACAUCAGGACCGAGGACGGGGCGUGGACUCAGCUGCCGUCUGUCCGCUGGCUCAGAGGGACCCUCUGCAGUGUGAGUGAGCAGGAAGGAGACGUGGAAGUCCUGACAAAAUAAAAGCUUUUUAUAAGACUUCAAACUAAAAGCAUCA